UGCGUAGGUGGCACGAUAUGUCGGAUGUGAAAGCCCACGGCUCAACCGUGGAACUGCAUACGAAACUGUCGAGCUAGAGUACAGGAGGGGAGAGUGGAAUUCUUGGUGUAGCGGUGAAAUGCGUUGAUAUCAAGAAGAACACCGGUGGCGAAGGCGGCUCUCUAGAAUGUUACUGACACUGAGGCACGAAAGCUGGGGGAGCAAACAGGAUUAGAUACCCUGGUAGUCC
rnacentral:rRNA from 1 species